AAACUGUAUGAAAGGAGAGAGGGCUAGCACUCCCCUUGAUAAAGAUGGAAUAGACCCUCAGCCCUGUACAACUUGCAUAUAGUUAAGGCAUUGCCACCUAAUUUGUGGCAUCUAACCAUUGUUUUUA